UGUUAUAGUAAUAAACAGUAAUUGAUGGAACGGAUUUUAUAAGUUUUUGCUUUAUAGAUUUCUUUCAAAGGUUACCAGUUGUUUGUUACUCAAGGUUUGUUAUUGAAAGGAAUUUAUACACAUGCAAAACGGUACAGUUAAAUGGUUUAACGCAGACAAAGGUUUCGGCUUUAUUACUACAGACGAAGGCAACGACAUUUUCGUUCACUUCUCUGCUAUCCAAAGUGACGGUUACAAAUCUCUUGAUGAAGGUCAAAAAGUAUCUUUUGACGUUGAACAAAGCGAUCGUGGCCCACAAGCUGCAAACGUUGUUAAACUUUAAUUCGUUAAACAACCUUUAAAAAACACAGGUCUUCGGGCCUGUGUUUUUUU
rnacentral:sRNA from 1 species